UCUCUAGAUCUACCAUAUUGUAGGUGUUUUGUCUAGCCUGGAUGGUUGCUUGUAGGAUCUGUUCUUCAUCCGCGUCGUGCGUCAUGCAUCUCUGGCUCUGGGAGAGUUCGUUUUAUGGGGUGCGGUACCUCGAGAGUCUGUCGCCGGCUUAUUGCACCACCCUUGGCUUCAUUUGCCACCUCAGUUCUACCUCACCACUCUCUGUGAGCUGUUAAUCUAUCUUGCAACACAUUUCGCCUUCCAUGAUCUCAGAUCUUCAUGAUUUUAACUGACCUUGCUUUGAAAGUUCUCUGGGUGUUCUCUGAGUUGGAGGUUUUUGGCUUAGUUUGGGAAGCUCUAAGUUCAUCGGAGACUAUCUGGGUUACUCCUUG
rnacentral:misc_RNA from 1 species